rnacentral:rRNA from 1 species
AACGAACGCUGGCGGCGUGGAUUAGGCAUGCAAGUCGAACGCGAAAGGGGAGCAAUCCCUGAGUAGAGUGGCGAACGGGUGAGUAACGCGUGAAGAACCUGCCUUCAACAGGGGGAUAACACUCCCAACGGGGUGCUAAUACCGCAUGAGACCACGGAUCUGCAUGGAUCUGAGGUCAAAGGUGGCCUCUGCUUGCAAGCUACCGGUUGAAGAUGGCUUCGCGUCCCAUUAGCUAGUUGGCGGUGUAAAAGACCACCAAGGCGACGAUGGGUAGCUGGUCUGAGAGGAUGGUCAGCCACACUGGGACUGAGAUACGGCCCAGACUCCUACGGGAGGCAGCAGUCGAGAGGCUUCGGCAAUGGGGGAAACCCUGACCGAGCGACGCCGCGUGGGGGAUGAAGGCCCCUGGGUUGUAAACCCCUUUUGCCGGGGAAGAAAUGCGAUCAGGUGAACAAUCUGGUCGUUUGACGGUACCCGGCGAAUAAGCUCCGGCUAACUCCGUGC